rnacentral:siRNA from 1 species
AAUGUUAUGGUGAAUUGAGUUUAA